rnacentral:rRNA from 1 species
UACGUAGGGUGCGAGCGUUAAUCGGAAUUACUGGGCGUAAAGCGUGCGCAGGCGGUGAGCUGUGUCCGAUGUGAAAGCCCCGGGCUUAACCUGGGAAUGGCAUUGGAAACUGGCUCGCUGGAGUGUGGCAGAGGGGGGUGGAAUUCCGCGUGUAGCAGUGAAAUGCGUAGAUAUGUGGAGGAAUACCGAUGGCGAAGGCAGCCCCCUGGGAUAACACUGACGCUCAUGCACGAAAGCGUGGGGAGUAAACAGG